GUGGAGUGUAACCUGCGUUGGGUUCAUCUUUCUUUUUAAGAAGACACAAACUCACUAACUAUUCCUUCCAGCUGAGAAACCCUAAACCUAUUUGAAGAUGUGUGCAUACACAUUCCCACAUCGAAAAGGGGGAUAUUUUUCUGAAAUAUGAAGGGAUGUUAACAAGGAAGGAGCCGAUUGGAAAUGACACAUAUGUGUUUGAAUUCCGAUUCAAGGGGAAAAAAAUGUUGGUUUGAUGGAACUACAGAAGAUGGCAGUUUUGGAAGGCUUGUAAAUGACUCCACCAACGGCAUUUGUAAAGUGCAGUGCUUUGAAGAGGAGGGUCUAUCAAGCUUAUAAUUUGUUGCCCUCCGUGACAUUCUGCCACUGGUCAGAUGCUACAGUUGACUGUGCCAGCGUCAUCUCUCGUGCAGAGAAGAAGUUGUGUAUAAUUAUGGUGCAGAACCAUAUCCAUGGGGGCAAAAGGACAGGUUUGAUUUAUACACUGAUGUUGGAGCUUGGAAAAAGCCACUUGACUACAUUACCCAGCUCAGGCAGUCUGCAAUAUUCAAAGAAGUGAGGACUUUGAGUUCUUGAUGACUGCAGUGUCCAUGACUAAGAUGUUGAACCAGAUGGCCUAGAUCCAGAACUGACUACAUGGACCAAGG